AGACGAAACGCAACCCUUCCGGCUCCCUGCGGAUUCGGCGAGUAGGUUGGUUUCCUGUCACAGGGGCGUGGGCUCCGUGCUACGCGCGGAAUUCGCGGCGACCAAAGGGAAUAACAGCUGUACCCUCAAGGAGCUUACAUGAAGUUAUGCACAACAAACAAUUGCUAACGCCCUAUAAAGUCAAAAUAUGACCGGUGUUUAAAGAUGAGUGAAAACUUCCUUAGGGACCAAACCAGCAAGUAGACUCAGCUUUGGGAGCCAUCACCCUGGUCCACCUUGAUGUGUCAGCACCACAGAGAGCAGCUUACUUCAUACGCAAUCCUGUAAUGCUUGAGUCACUCAAAUGGUGGUAAAGAGGCAAACUAGAUUGUUCCUAAUAGGUGUGCACCUUUGGGACACGUAUAUAACCACCCGAUGCACAUCGUUGGUGACCUACGAGCAUAUCUACCUCAGCAGUGGGAAUGGGCCCUAGUACAUGAGAAUGUGCCUUAAACAGUGUCUGGCACAUAGUGUGGGAACUGAGGAAUGCAGAAUGGGAAGACUACUGAGGCUACUUAGAGAUGCCUCUCCCAGUGCUCCUUCAGGAUGCUGCUUCCAUCUAUGUUAAGCCCUGGGUUAACUCUGCAGAGAGGCCCCCAGUCACACAGGUUCCUUCUGGCCCAGAGUGACCCCCCUGUGGACGACUGCCGAGCGAGAGCAUGCAUGAUUACCAGAGGUUGCCCAAGCUCCAAAGGAAGAACUCCAUGAUCAACACCCCUGACACUACGUGGAAAUGGACAUGACUGAUGAAUGUGAAAAGGAAUCAUUGAAAUGGAAAAUCCUGGAGCUGAAAGUGGCCGUAUCCAGCUCUACUCUGUGAAUUUUGUAUUUUUUCUUUUAUUUAUUUAUCAUCUCAACAGACAUGUUUUGCGAAUAUACUGCAUGCAAAUUACUACAUUGGGUGCUAGGAAAAGAACUGUGAACAAGGGAAGAGGCCAUGUGAGGACACAGUGAGAAGGCAGCGAUAUACAAGCCUGGAAGAGAGGCUUCACCAGAAAUCAACCCAGAUGGCACCUUGAUCUUGGACUUCUAGCUUCCUGAACUUCUUCAGGUGGUGUCUCAAUCUGUAGCAAAGAAGGCCACAAGGCUCCAGGCCUGCACACCUUUACUGGUGGAAAUUAAGCAUCUUCAGUUUGUUUUCCUUUAACUUCCUGAAGACCAGUCCUCAUGAAGAAAGUGAGGGAAUACUCAUCCUUACUUCCCUCCCACUUCUGUCAGAGGGAACAAUAUUUCCCAAAGUGUGGAAUUCAGACUAGUGCUGAAUAUGUAAGCUGAAAGCAUCCUGACCGAUAAGAGUGGUUAAACUGGUUUCUUCAGUCAGUGAGGAGGGAAUUGGCUCCUGGCUCCACCACAGGAAUUAUAUGCCCUCUUCAAAGCUGCUUCCUCCUCUGAGACGCAGGUUAUGCAGUCAACAGUUUUGACAGCUACAAAGGGACCCAGAGCAGACUUUUCUCCUUUGCCUGAACUCUCCAAGGGUCCAGAGCCUAGGUACCAGCAGAGGAUUCUUGGGCCCAUCUGCCACCUCAGAGAGUCCAGAUGAAUUCGGAAAACCUUUCCUCUUACGCUAACUAUGACCUUCAACAAGUUGAUAAAGUAUACCUUUGUAAACGAAGAUGAAACAUUUAUCUUUUUCUCUCUACCUGAUUCCUCCAGAAUUUGGCUUCUCCAGUUGGCUCCCCUGUGGACUUGAUGGCUUAUUUUGACCAGAUUACAACUAGUUAUACUAAUCACUGUUUUAGUUUGUUCUCUCUUGGCAUUUGCAAAUUAUUUAUGCCUUGUGCCUCUCUCUGCUGCAGUAUCAGUUUAUUAAUGUUACUAGCUGUGUUACUUAUGUCCUGUUUUAUGAGAUUGUUAUCUCUUACAUUAGCAAAGUGUAACCAAGCCUCCAGCAAAAUUAAUGACGUCUCGAGUUAGUUGAUCAUGUACAUAACUCUACAUAGAAUAAUUGUAAUAGUGCAAUUCUAGAUCUGGGAAGAAGCAAUGAGGGAAAACAUUUCCUGGAUCACAACAGACUAAUAAGACAGGUGAUCCAGAGAAUUUUAGAUUAUCAACAGGGUCUAAUCCACAACAAAUCAGCACAUUGAGUGGCCUAGCAACAGAAUCUUCACGUGAUCAAGGGAUGAGCCUUCCUAGCCCUGAGGGACAAAAUUAGUCAUGAAAUGCCUCCCAAAUAUUGGUUGAAUUUAUGGCCAAGAGGAAGCACUGUGAGCAAAGACUGUCACCUGCCGUAUCAGUAAACAAGCCAUGAAGCCAUCAGCCUCUGCAGCCACCACCAAUGGUGCAGCCUGAGGGGACUCAGAAUGGAGAAAAACAGGAUACGGGCCCUAGAUAGUUAAGGUGCAUAUUAAAGGAAUGAUUUCAGUGAGCCAAGGGCCUUGCAUCUUCCCAUACAUAGAAAAGCACUGAAUUCAUUAACUGUAGAUGUCUGUUUUUUCAUUAAUUAGCAGCAAUCUUGUGAUGUUCGACUUCCUGAUUUUAUUUUUGCAAAAACUCCUACAUAUUCCUGGCUCCUCCCUUACCUCUUUGGAACACUCUCUCAGAGCUAUCUGAGAGGCUGUCUCCUGGGCUGAGGUCCUCAGUAUGUCUGCUGAAUAAAACAUAGUUCUCAGCUUCUGGGUUGUGCGGUUUGUUUGUUUUUUUCAGUCGACAGUUUCUGUGGUAGUUCUAUGUGGUAACUUUUUGCGGGACCACAAACUCUUUCUCAGCAGCUGCA